AGAAACUUAGGAUAAUAUAAACCGAAGGCCUUCAAAGCCUUAAACAAGAGCUAAAACCUCUUAGUUUCUG
rnacentral:tRNA from 1 species